AAAGGCAUUUCCUACAUGGCAACAGGUGGGGGGGGGAGAGAGAGGGAGAGAGAGAAGGAAAGCCAACUGAAAGGGCUCUCCCCUUGUAAAAUCAUAAGACUGUGUGAGACUUACUACCAUGAGAACGGUAUGGGGGAAAUUGCCCCCAUGAUUCAAUUAUCUCCCACCGGGUCCCUCCUACAACAUGUGGGAAUUAUGGGAGCUACAAAUCAAGAUGAGAUUUGGGUGGGGACACAGCCAAACUAUAUUUGUAUGUGUCUUGGGAAUUUUGGUAUUCCUCAGGAAAUCUUGAGCCUUGCACACCUAAUUGAUAAUUAAAAGUUGCUAUAAUGUGCAAAUUUAGUUCCAAGAUUUCAUUAUGUUUCUGCUGUUCUAAUUUUUUGAGUGUGAAGGUCUUGUGCUGAAACAGUAAUAAAAAUUAUUUCAAUAGUCAUCAUCAUAACAAUGGCCAUUUAUUGUGUCUAAGAUGUACCAGGCAGCAUUUUAGGUGCUCUAUAUUUGGAUUCUUUAUUACCUCUCUCUAAACCCAAUGAGGUAGAUAUAAUUACAGAAAAUGAAAGAGAAGCUCUGAGACUGUACAUAACUUCCUCAAAGUCACACACAAAAAGGUGGCAGAGACACAAUACAUUUUUACAUCUCUCUAACCUCAAAUCCCAUAUCAUUUCUAUUGAUAAUUGUUAAUAAGGUUUCAGAAACCUAUUAUUUUUUAUUAUCAAAAUAAAAUAGAAAAUGCUAAAAAGCAGCAGCGGUAGCAACAGUAAAAUAGAAAGUAAGUUUUUAUUUGAAAACUUUUGAGAUUGCCUCCUUCCCCUUAAAAAUGUAAGGUUUUUUUCAAACUUUUAGUGGAUUAUCUGAUAUUUGCAUAAUAUUCUUCCUGUCAUACUCUUGUUCUUUCAGUUGAUCCCAACUAACUGGUUAAAAAUGAGCUUCUGCUUGCUGCUUUCUAAAGAAGAAUGGCUUAGAAUGGAUUCCUUUCUGUGCUUUGGAGAAACUUGUUACUGAGUUGCCCUUGAACUAAAAUACUGCAUGAAAGACACCACACUUCACUAAUACAAUUUCCCAAGAAUCAGCUCACCAAGAAGGCUUUAUCUUUUACAAAGUUUGCCCCAAGUUCUCAAAAAGGGCCAUGACUACUAAAAGAGGCUGAAACGUGGACCUGUGCCUUUGCCCUUACUGAAGCUCUCAUCAUGUGAAUGAGUAGAUCUCCCAGAAGAUCGCUGAAUAAUCUCAUAGAUAAGAGUGGACUACCCAUCCCCAACUGCCUGCCUACCUCUAUCACUAUUUGGAUAGGGUAAGGUUUUGAGUGUAGAUAACCGGAGAACGGUGAUACCACAGAGGAGGUAGUAUAAAAUUAUAUACAAAGAAAACCAGUUUUAUAUAUGAGGUGAUAGCAGUGCAUCUAUUAGGAAAUAUCCAUCUAGCAGAAAUGCAAAAUUAAAGCUCUGGGGAGCUUCAGGUUGGAGAUAUACACACAUGAGGCAUCUGAAAGAAAAGCUGAAACCAUGGGGAAAAGUAUAACAGAGAGGUAAAUGGAAAACAGGAAAACAGUGCUUUUGAAGGUCAAGGGAAGAGUUUUGACAAAAUAGGGGUCACUCAACAUGGGAAUAGGUGAGAGGAAAGGUAACUAUAGAAAGAGAUUAAACUUGAUUCUUAAGUUCAUGUUCUCUUUAUCUGUGUGUCCUCACAUCUAGCUUUACUUAAAAUCUUUUUUCCCCUAAAAUCUGAUCUUUUUUAUUUCUCUGUGUUGCCAAGACACUCAUCACAUCCUGCCUUGAUUUACACAAACUCCUUCUCACUGGCCUCUUUCUCAUCAGUUUCCUACUCCAGUCUUUGCCAAAUGUUACUGCCAAGUCCAUUUUCCUUUCCUGCUGUUCAGACUAUGUUUCUCCCACUCUGCUUUGGCUUCUCUUCACCUUCCAGCCUCCCCACAACUCUGCACCUGCUUACAACUCUUCCUCAUCCUUCCUACAGCCCCAUCCCACACCCCGCCUCCACUCCUUCCUCUGGACCUCUCAUCUCCUCUGGCAUCUUUAACCACCAAAUUGAGGCACUCCAAGCUUCAGGCCAACACCCUACAUUAUCCCUCCCAGCAGAUCUCCCAACUCAUGCACAUCAACACAGCUCCUAUUUCUGCUGCAAAGAAACCCAGUGUAUCUACUUCCUGUAUGAUGCUUGCUAGCUCAAAUAACAGUAUGCUGUGUGCUGCAUUCUCCCAGGGUAUGCAAAGCAGUAUUGCUUGGACUGUAUUCUUUCCUGUCCCCAUUACCUCUAGGGCCUUGUAUUGUUUGUUCUGGAACAACAUGAUUUCAUUACUGUCGGAUAAUUUGUUUCUUGUAAAGUACUUACUGGUGUUACCUUGGGGUGCUACAUAACAAUACAAAUCUCACAAUGCCUCGCUGAUGAGAGGGCCUAAACCCAACCAGUUUGUCCAAAAGUACCUUGAGUUUUUUUCUCAGUAGUUCAUGGGGAAAAAAAACCCCGUAUCUGUCAGGAAAAGGGAGAAAAUUAAUGUGCAGAAAGGAAGGUAUGAUGUUUCUAUUGUUCUCAACAAAUAACGUUCAUGGGAAAAAAAAACCCAUAUAUUUGAGUGAACCAGAAAUUCAAUGAGCAUUAUAGAUAAAAUAAUGUAAAAACUCCUUUCUAGGUAUGGAAGAUAUGUCUUCAAGGACAUAUCUUACUGUUAUCACAGAAAGCAAUUAUUUGCCUUGCUACCUCCAAAACUUUGCUCAUGCCAGUUUCAUUUAGCAUAUAUAUAAUAUAAUUCAUUUUAGAGAAAAUACUCACUAUAAAACUCAAAUAACUAAGAUGUAUAAGUAUAUAGGCAAGUAUGGAGAAAAAAACAUAUAUAUACAUCUCUAAGAGCAUGAUUAAAAUAAUUGUUGCUUAAUGCUAAAUUUUCUUCUCAACAAGAAAAAAAUUUGAAUACUUAUCAUUAAUUUAAAUGUACUUGGU